AUUGAACGCUGGCGGCAGGCCUAACACAUGCAAGUCGAGCGAGCGGCGGACGGGUGAGUAAUGCCUAGGAAUCUGCCUGGAAGUGGGGGAUAACGUAGGCAAACUUACGCUAAUACCGCAUACGAUUGAAUGAGCCGAUGUAGGAUUAGCUAGUUGGCGGGGUAAAGGCGCACCAAGGCGACGAUCCGUAGCCGGUCGGAGAGGGUGAGCAGCCACACUGGAACGGAGACACGGUCCAGAGUCCUACGGGAGGCAGCAGUGAGGAAUAUUGGACAAUGGGCGCAAGCCUGAUCCAGCCAUACCGCGUGGGUGAAGAGGGCCUUCGGGUUGUAGAGCCCUUUUGUUGGGAAAGCGGUACCCAAAGAAUAAGCACCGGCUAACUCCGUGCCAGCCGCCGCGGUAAUAC
rnacentral:rRNA from 1 species